UUUCUCUUGGUUUCCAUAUGUGGGCUGGAGAAUGAGUGGUACAUUAUUCAACUAUCACGAAAUGACCACAGUGCACCAAACUGUUCUGUUUAAAAAAGCGAGUUUCCCCAUUCAUGUUUAGUGCCAGGGUGAGAGGUUAUGCCUGUACACGCCGGAGCAGCAGGCCUAAAACUCGAUUAGGUGAAAGUUUCUGUCAGCUGUGGAGUUAAUUCAUCACUUUGUUGAGGAGAAACUUCAUCUCGGACGUGAACAAAGGGUCUUUUGCACACAGGACAGAGUUUCUGUUCAGUGACUUGCCGGUGGUCAGGAUUUUCAGGCCACCAUAUCGAAUAUGGGCUGGACACGCUGAGUCAUGGGAAUGCAAGUCGAUUUGGACAGGCAGUCAGUCAUGCUGACCGUCCUCAAAACCAACACGAAAUCCAUGAUGGGUGGGACUGCUUGAGACUACUUGCUCACUUCUGUAAACUGGGAAUGCAUUUUACUUGUUGAAGAAGUAAAUGUGAUGUACCAGCAAAA